CCUACGGGGGGCAGCAGUGAGGAAUAUUGGUCAAUGGACGAGAGUCUGAACCAGCCAAGUAGCGUGAAGGAUGACUGCCCUAUGGGUUGUAAACUUCUUUUAUAAAGGAAUAAAACGAGGCACGUGUGCCUUUUUGCAUGUACUUUAUGAAUAAGGAUCGGCUAACUCCGUGCCAGCAGCCGCGGUAAUACGGAGGAUCCGAGCGUUAUCCGGAUUUAGUGGGUUUAAAGGGAGCGUAGAUGGGUUGUUAAGUCAGUUGUGAAAGUUGGGGGCUUAACCGUAAAAUUGCAAUUGAUACUGGCAGUCUUGAGUACAGGUGAGGUAGGCGGAAUUCGUGGUGUAGCGGUGAAAUGCUUAGAUAUCACGAAGAACCCCGAUUGCGAAGGCAGCUUACUAAACUGUGACUGACAUUGAUGCUCGAAAGUGUGGGUAUCAAACAGGAUUAGAUACCCUGGUAGUC
rnacentral:rRNA from 1 species